GCGACGCUGGCGGCGUGCCUAUACAUGCAAGUCGAGCGGAUCGAUGGGAGCUUGCUCCCUGAGAUCAGCGGCGGACGGGUGAGUAACACGUGGGUAACCUGCCUGUAAGACUGGGAUAACUCCGGGAAACCGGGGCUAAUACCGGAUAAUUUAGUUCCUCGCAUGAGGAACUGUUGAAAGGUGGCUUCUCCUUCCCAUUUCCAAAUGGACCUACGGCCCAUUACCUAUUUGGGAAGGUACCGGUUCGCCAAGGCACCAUUCCUUACCCAACCUGAAAGCGGGAUCGGCCCUCCUGGACCUAAUACCCGGCCCAAACGACUCCGGAAGGCACCAUUAGGAAUCCUCCCCCAUGGAACAAAAUUCUACCGAACCACCGACCCUGGAUUAAAAAAGGUUUCCGAACCUUAAACCUCUUUGGUAAGGAAAGCUACAAUUGCCGUCCAAUUAGGCCGCCACCUUGCCGGUCCCUACCCAAAUAGCCCCGGUUAAU
rnacentral:rRNA from 1 species